rnacentral:rRNA from 1 species
AGUCGAACGGAAUCUUCGGAUUCAGUGGCGGACGGGUGAGUAACACGUGGGAAUCUACUGAGUAGUGGGGGACAGCCCGGCGAAAGCCGGAUUAAUACCGCAUACGCCCUACGGGGGAAAGGCGCAAGCCGCUAUUUAAUGAGCCCGCGUAAGAUUAGCUAGUUGGUAAGGUAAAGGCUUACCAAGGCGACGAUCUUUAGCUGGUCUGAGGGGAUGGCCAGCCACAUCGGGACUGAGACACGGCCCGGACUCCUACGGGAGGCAGCAGUCGGGAAUAUUGGACAAUGGGCGCAAGCCUGAUCCAGCAAUACCGCGUGUGUGAAGAAGGCCUGCGGGUUGUAAAGCACUUUCAGUUGGGAAGAUAAUGACGUUACCAACAGAAGAAGCACCGGCUAACUCCGUGCCAGCAGCCGCGGUAAUACGGAGGGUGCAAGCGUUGAUCGGAAUUACUGGGCGUAAAGCGUGCGUAGGCGGUUUAUUAAGUCAGAUGUGAAAUCCCCGGGCUCAACCUGGGAACUGCAUCUGAUACUGGUAGACUAGAGUGUGGGAGAGGAGAGUGGAAUUUCCGGUGUAGAGGUGAAAUUCGUAGAUAUCGAGAGGAACACCGGUGGCGAAGGCGGCCAACUGGACGAAUACUGACGCUGAGACACGAAAGCGUGGGGAGCAAACAGGAUUAGAUACCCUGGUAGUCCACGCCGUA